rnacentral:rRNA from 1 species
ACGAACGCUGGCGGCACGCUUAACACAUGCAAGUCGAACGAGAGAAGAGGAGCUUGCUUUUCUGAUCUAGUGGCGGACGGGUGAGUAACACGUGAGCAAUCUGCCUUUCAGAGGGGGAUACCGAUUGGAAACGAUCGUUAAUACCGCAUAACAUAAUUGAACCGCAUGAUUUGAUUAUCAAAGAUUUAUCGCUGAAAGAUGAGCUCGCGUCUGAUUAGCUAGUUGGUAAGGUAACGGCUUACCAAGGCGACGAUCAGUAGCCGGACUGAGAGGUUGAUCGGCCACAUUGGGACUGAGACACGGCCCAGACUCCUACGGGAGGCAGCAGUGGGGAAUAUUGCACAAUGGAGGAAACUCUGAUGCAGCGAUGCCGCGUGAGGGAAGAAGGUUUUAGGAUUGUAAACCUCUGUCUUCAGGGACGAAAAAUGACGGUACCUGAGGAGGAAGCUCCGGCUAACUACGUGCCAGCAGCCGCGGUAAUACGUAGGGAGCGAGCGUUGUCCGGAAUUACUGGGUGUAAAGGGAGCGUAGGCGGGAUCGCAAGUCAGAUGUGAAAACUAUGGGCUUAACCCAUAAACUGCAUUUGAAACUGUGGUUCUUGAGUGAAGUAGAGGUAAGCGGAAUUCCUAGUGUAGCGGUGAAAAGCGUAGAUAAUAGGAGGAACAUCAGGGGCGAAGGCGGCUUACUGAGCUUUAACGGACGCUGAGGCUCGAAAGCGUGGGGAGCAAACAGGAUUAGAUACCCUGGUAGUCCACGCCGUAAACGAUGAUUACUAGGUGUGGGGGGACUGACCCCUUCCGUGCCGCAGCAAACGCAAUAAGUAAUCCACCUGGGGAGUACGACCGCAAGGUUGAAACUCAAAGGAAUUGACGGGGGCCCGCACAAGCAGUGGAGUAUGUGGAUUAAUUCGAAGCAACGCGAAGAACCUUACCAGGUCUUGACAUCGUAUGCAUAGCUCAGAGAUGAGUGAAAUCUCUUCGGAGACAUAUAGACAGGUGGUGCAUGGUUGUCGUCAGCUCGUGUCGUGAGAUGUUGGGUUAAGUCCCGCAACGAGCGCAACCCUUACUGUUAGUUGCUACGCAAGAGCACUCUAGCAGGACUGCCGUUGACAAAACGGAGGAAGGUGGGGAUGACGUCAAAUCAUCAUGCCCCUUAUGACCUGGGCCUCACACGUACUACAAUGGCUGUCAACAGAGGGAAGCAAAGCCGCGAGGUGGAGCAAACCCCUAAAAGCAGUCUUAGUUCGGAUUGUAGGCUGCAACCCGCCUACAUGAAGUCGGAAUUGCUAGUAAUCGCAGAUCAGCAUGCUGCGGUGAAUACGUUCCCGGGCCUUGUACACACCGCCCGUCACGCCAUGGGAGUCGGUAACACCCGAAGCCUGUAGUCUAACCGCAAGGAGGACGCAGUCGAAGGUGGGAUUGAUGACUGGGGUG